rnacentral:tRNA from 1 species
ACCGAGGUAGCAUAAUUGGUAAUGCACCGCCCUGUUAAGGCGUGAGGGAGACCUCCAUGCACGUUCGAGUCGUGCCCUCGGUGCCA